GACCUUUUGUCAUAGCUGCUUAAUGAAUAAAACCCCAUGGUUUAUGUGUCCUGCUCUUCCCAGCUCUCCUGUGGAUGACCAGCAGUGACUCUAAAGACAGCGUGAUAAUCUCUGAGGCUGGGGACACAGGUGGGUAUAUUGAGCGGCAGCACCUGUCACAUCCUGGGUGUUUUUUCAACAUCUUCCUUUUGUGUUUGUUCUGUGAAUGUCAUGUAUCACUUUUACAAUAAACAUUGUUACAAAAAUAAAGUACAUAAGUAACCAGGAUACCUAUGAAGCUCCCCAGGACAGGGCUGGUACUAUUCUUAAACCUGGAUAAACCACAGCCUGGAGUUUUUAACUAAACUCGGCCAGACAAAGACCCUGUCCGUCUGGAGGUCCAUCUUCCAGUGGGCGUAAAGUCUUUCUGGAGGUCUGCAAAGGGCUAGAACAAUCUUUUGAGGUAGUGUUUUUCAAAUUUUGAGCCAAAA
rnacentral:lncRNA from 1 species